CUAUCCCUGCUGAGGCAGCGUUCGGCAUUCCCACGGUUCCCUUUGGAGAGUGUUUCACUUGGUGACCUGCGUUCCUGCAGUAGCCCCUCGGUUUCAUCUGUGCUCCGCGUUUACGCGCUCACUACUUGCAUCCUUUGCAGUGGUUUAUCCAGUUUUCAUCCUCCCUCCGCGUUCUGGGUCCACAUUCGUGACAUUUGCC